CAAUGAAGGUGGCAUGGUAAGGUGCACAGAAAUUGAAUUAUAUUGGUCUACAUGUCUGCUCCCUCUGAUGUGUCUGUACAAUGCUUUUGAUUUGGGGGCCUGGUUUCUGACCCACAGUU
rfam:Jatropha curcas cultivar GZQX0401 scaffold42_51, whole genome shotgun sequence.